rfam:Cavia porcellus supercont2_55 genomic scaffold, whole genome shotgun sequence.
UAUCAGGCUUUUUUAAAAGCCACAGGUGUCAAAUGAGUGGAUGUGU